rnacentral:rRNA from 1 species
UGAAGACUCUGCUUGACUAGCUGAGAGGAGGUGCAUGGCCGUCGUCAGUUCGUACUGUGAAGCAUCCUGUUAAGUCAGGCAACGAGCGAGACCCACGCCAACAGUUGCCAGCAUGAUCUCCGGAUUUGAUGGGGACACUGUUGGGACCGCCUCUGCUAAAGGGGAGGAAGGAAUGGGCAACGGUAGGUCAGCAUGCCCCGAAUUAUCCGGGCUACACGCGGGCUACAAUGGAUGGGACAAUGGGUUUCGACACCGAAAGGUGAAGGUAAUCUCCUAACCCCACCCGUAGUUCGGAUUGCGGGCUGCAACUCGCCCGCAUGAAGCUGGAAUCCGUAGUAAUCGCGUCUCACGAUGGCGCGGUGAAUAUGUCCCUGCUCCUU